rnacentral:rRNA from 1 species
UUUUCCGGUUGAUCCUGCCGGAGGACAUUGCUAUUGGGAUUCGAUUUAGCCAUGCUAGUCGGACGAGUUUAGACUCGUGGCGCAUAGCUCAGUAACACGUGGCCAAGCUACCCUUCAGUCGGCAAUACCCUCGGGAAACUGAGGUUAACGGCCGAUGUGGGACGCCUGCUGGAAUGCGGCGUUCUCUAAAGGCGACGCUGAAGGAUGCGGCUGCGGCCGAUUAGGUUGACGGUGGGGUAACGGCCCACCGUGCCAGUAAUCGGUACGGGUGAUGAGAGUCAGAGCCCGGAGACGGAAUCUGAGACAAGAUUCCGGGCCCUACGGGGCGCAGCAGGCGCGAAACCUUUACACUGCACGGAAGUGCGAUAGGGGAAUCCCAAGUGCGAGGGCAUAUUCGCCCUCGCUUUUGUUGACCGUAAGGUGGUCAACGAAUAAGAGCUGGGCAAGACCGGUGCCAGCCGCCGCGGU